AGAGUUUGAUUCUGGCUCAGGAUGAACGCUAGCGACAGGCUUAACACAUGCAAGUCGAGGGGCAGCAUAAAAGUAGCAAUACGUUUGGUGGCGACCGGCGCACGGGUGAGUAACGCGUAUGCAACCUACCUAUCGAGAGGGGAAUAACCCGGCGAAAGUCGGACUAAUACCGCAUAAAACAGGGGCACCGCAUGGUGAUAUUUGUUAAAGAGAUUCGCUGAUAGAUGGGCAUGCGUUCCAUUAGGUAGUUGGUGAGGUAACGGCUCACCAAGCCGACGAUGGAUAGGGGAACUGAGAGGUUGGUCCCCCACACUGGUACUGAGACACGGACCAGACUCCUACGGGAGGCAGCAGUGAGGAAUAUUGGUCAAUGGGCGGGAGCCUGAACCAGCCAAGUCCGCGUGAAGGAAGAAGGAUCUAUGGUUCGUAAACUUCUUUUGCAGGGGAAUAAAGUGCAGGACGUGUCCUGUUUUGUAUGUACCCUGAGAAUAAGGAUCGGCUAACUCCGUGCCAGCCGCGGC
rnacentral:rRNA from 1 species